rnacentral:rRNA from 1 species
UACGAAGGGGGCUAGCGUUGCUCGGAAUCACUGGGCGUAAAGCGCACGUAGGCGGCUUUCUAAGUCAGGGGUGAAAUCCUGGAGCUCAACUCCAGAACUGCCUUUGAUACUGGAGAGCUUGAGUCCGGAAGAGGUGAGUGGAACUCCGAGUGUAGAGGUGAAAUUCGUAGAUAUUCGGAAGAACACCAGUGGCGAAGGCGGCUUACUGGUCCGGUUCUGACGGCUGAGGCGCGAAAGCGUGGGGAGCAAACAGG